CUAUAUUACCAUCUGACAUCUAUUAUGAUAUGGAAUACUGUAUUGAUUACUCUACAUUUCGCAAAAUACCGAAAGGUAUGUCAUGAGGGUGUCCAAGAUGCUUUUGGUCUUCUUUUCUAUACAAAUUUUUUCUUAACAAGAAAAAACAAUGGUGUUUUAGAAAUAGGAACAAUUCUGCACAUGUGCUUCUUGCAGGUGUUAUGAUUGUUUGAUGAACACAAAAAUUCGUUUUAGCUGAAAAUUCAUCUAUUCCCUUGUAUAUAUACACUUUUAAAUUUCACGGGUUCUUAGUUGCU
rnacentral:lncRNA from 1 species